UCGCGAAAACUUCACAAUGGGGGCAACCCCGAUGAGGGAAUUCCUAGUGCUAGCACAUUUGUGUUAGCUUUUCUUUAGCUCAGAAAACUAGAGGAAUAAGGGCUGGGUAAGACGGGUGCCAGCCGCCGCGGUAAUACCUGCAGCCCAAGUGGUGGUCGAUUUUAUUGAGUCUAAAACGUUCGUAGCCGGUUCGGUAAAUCUUUGGGUAAAUCGGGGGGCUUAACCUUCCGACUUCCGAGGAGACUGCCGAACUUGGGACCGGGAGAGGCUAGAGGUACUUCUGGGGUAGGGGUAAAAUCCUGUAAUCCUAGAAGGACCACCGGUGGCGAAGGCGUCUAGCUAGAACGGAUCCGACGGUGAGGGACGAAGCCCUGGGUCGCAAACGGGAUUAGAUACCCCGGUAGUCCAGGGUGUAAACGCUGCAGACUUGGUGUUGGAGGCCCUUUGGGGGCAUUCAGUGCCGGAGAGAAGUUGUUAAGUCUGCUACUUGGGGAGUACGUCCGCAAGGAUGAAACUUAAAGGAAUUGGCGGGGGAGCACCGCAACGGGAGGAGCGUGCGGUUUAAUUGGAUUCAACACCGUAAAACUCACCAGGGAAGACUGUUACAUGAAGGCCGGGCUAAAGACUCUGCCAGAUUUUCA
rnacentral:rRNA from 1 species